UUUUAUGGAGAGUUUGAUCCUGGCUCAGGAUGAACGCUGGCGGCGUGCCUAAUACAUGCAAGUCGAGCGAACGGAYGAGAAGCUUGCUUCUCUGAUGUUAGCGGCGGACGGGUGAGUAACACGUGGAUAACCUACCUAUAAGACUGGGAUAACUUCGGGAAACCGGAGCUAAUACCGGAUAAUAUUUUGAACCGCAUGGUUCAAAAGURAAAGACGGUCUUGCUGUCACUUAUAGAUGGAUCCGCGCUGCAUUAGCUAGUUGGUAAGGUAACGGCUUACCAAGGCAACGAUGCAUAGCCGACCUGAGAGGGU
rnacentral:rRNA from 1 species